CCUACGGGGGGCAGCAGUGAGGAAUAUUGGUCAAUGGGCGCGAGCCUGAACCAGCCAAGUAGCGUGAAGGAUGACUGCCCUACGGGUUGUAAACUUCUUUUAUAAAGGAAUAAAGUGAGGCACGUGUGCCUUUUUGUAUGUACUUUAUGAAUAAGGAUCGGCUAACUCCGGGCCAGCAGCCGCGGUAAUACGGAGGAUCCGAGCGUUGUCCGGAUUUAUUGGGUUUAAAGGGAGCGUAGAUGGGUUUUUAAGUCAGUUGUGAAAGUUUGCGGCUCAACCGUAAGAUUGCAAUUGAUACUGGCAGCCUUGAGUACAGUUGAGGUAGGCGGAAUUCGUGGUGUAGCGGUGAAAUGCUUAGAUAUCACGAAGAACUCCGAUGGCGAAGGCAGCCUACUAAACUGCCACUGACAUUGAUGCUCGAAAGUGUGGGUAGCAAACAGGAUUAGAUACCCUUGUAGUC
rnacentral:rRNA from 1 species